AGCACAGGCUCAUUUGAAGGGGUAGGGCUGUGGGUGUCCCGCUGGCAGUUGCAUUUGCACAGACUCCAUGUGAGUGAUCAAUGAGAAAGUCAAAUAACCGCCUGCUGUGAAGCACCUGGAAGACCACUCGGUGUUCAGGAACAAAGAAAUGACCUGCAGGUCCCACAAAGCUGGAAACCACGCUCACUGCCAGAACUUCAUGAUGCACUGGAUGUGUCACAUCCAUGCACAUGAUCAAGAAAACUACAACUUCAGAUUUGACUUCACACUGCAGUUCAGACCCUCCCACCUCAAAACCUCUCAGUCAGCUUGACGAGAUCAGGAGGCUUCUUGUUGACCUGGAGAGCAGCUGAUGGAAUCCAAGGGCUGGGAAAGGCACUGGACUAUGAAGUCACUUACAAGCGGGAGUGGGAGUCCUGGGAGAAGGCUGCCUCGCUCUUGCUCUCCACCACCAAGCGUUGCCAUCAACACCAGUGGAGCACAUGUGGGUUUGUGCAGCGGCCCUUGGAGCACCGGCUGAGGUAGGACUCUUCUGCUGAGUGAGGUGCUCCAGGUGAAACAUCUCCAUCUGUGUGUAUCUGGAGGUACUGGUGCUGCUUUGCCCAAAGCACAGCUGGGAGAACUCCUGCAGUGGGUGAAAAUAUCAGGUGGUAGCUCCAAGAGAGCUGAAAAUCUCUGGAAAUGUGUUGGAGCGGUAGAGAUGUUUCAAAUAUUGCUGUAGUGCUUGUCUGUACACAGGGAGUGCCGUCAAUAUUAAUGGAUAUGGAUUUUCUGUUACUUAAUGGUCUAGUGGUUUAUUGUAUUUGACUAGAAAAUGAAGAUGCAGAGAAUUAAAAAGUGUUAAAAAGCUGAGACUUCUUACAUUGCAUAAAACAAUGUUGUUUUCAUUCCCUGGAAGCUAUCCACGGUGGUGGAAGGGAGUGCUGGGCCAGUGUGUUGAUAAGUGCUCUGAGACAUUCCGUGUGUUCCAGUCAAGGUGCUGCCGCCUACAAAUGUGUCAGUAACAGUGACGGAGAACAGGGAGUAUGAACUGAGGUGGAUAAAACACAAGUUGCGAUAUGGCUUCAUAAAACAGAGAUACGAAGUUGAGUACUGGAAAAGCAACCAAUAUGACAAGGUGACUCUAAGAAAGUGCAGCAGUCCUGGAUUUCUCUUUGCUGGGCAAAUGGGAGAGAUGGUUCCUCUCACCUUCAUCGUUUGUGCUUCUUUCUUCUCCCCAGGCU